rnacentral:lncRNA from 1 species
UACUGGAAUAUUUCGCAAGAGAUUUUGUUAUCCCCCUGAGUGGAAUGAGCAGAACCAAUUGGACAUUUUAUACAGCAACAGAAAUAUUUGAAAAAUGACUUGAGCAUGUCCACUUCCAGAGAAAGAACUGACAAUAAUUUCAUUUAAUAUCAAAUGGGUAUGGAGAAUAUAGGAUUUGGU